UUGAGAAUGGACUAGCCAAAAAAAGAACAAGUUUAAAUACAUUUUAAAAACCCUGUCUUUUCAAAUGAGCUGGUAAGGAAGGUCCACAACUCAGUGGCAGAUCACACGCUUUGCAUACAGACAGCCCCAGAUUCAAUCCUUAGCAUCUCCAGCACUCCAACAGCUACAGAAAAAGUCCACUAAUUCUCCACUCCAUUGAAAAGGCUGCCCUUUGCCUGCAUCUGGUUCUGUUAUGUUGGUGGCUUCUAGCAGACAUAUGCAGAAUAGACAUCUAGUUCUGGGUGUCCAGCUCAAGAAGCCAUAGGCUAUGCACAUGAAUUGGGCAACUGGAUGUGCACGGGCCUCCCAUUCCAGAAAUGAACAACCCUAAAACAAGUUGGAUAUCCCACCCUGCCAGAUAAAGCAGAUGAAAGAAGCUACUUCCAAAAGCUGAGAUGACUUGCAUGAAAACCUUGUUCUUAGUACAUGCUACUGACAGACUGCAUAGGACAUCUAUGAUGUCCGAGACACAUACCACUCCUAUGAUGUCUGACCACGGCCAGCACCAGAGGGCGGCCAGGUCAGGCCCUGGCCAAGGGCCUCUGAAGGAUAUGUUUCCCUGAAUCAUCCAAAGGCAGGGAAACAUUAAGGCAAUUUCCAGUGUGCUAUCAUAUGGAAAGCGGGAUUGGACCAAGAGGAAGGAGGUGUGAAAAUUGAGGGAGAAACAUCAAUAAUUUAAGAUAUGCAGACGACACCAUACUAUUAGCAGAAACCAAGUAAUGAUUUGAAAUGAAUGCUGAUGAAAGUUAAAGAGGAAAGCACAAAGCAGGACUACAGCUGAACGUCAAAAAGACUAAAGUAAUGACAACAGAAGAUUUAUGUAACUUUAAAGUUGACAAUGAGGACAUUGAACUUGUCAAGGAUUAUCAAUACCUCGGCACAGUCAUUAACCAAAAUGGAGACAAUAAUCAAGAAAUCAGAAGAAGGCUAGGAUUUGGGAGGGCAGCUAUGAGAGAACUAGAAAAGGUCCUCAAAUGCAAAGAUGUAUCACUGAACACCAAAGUCAGGAUCAUUCAGACCAUGGUAUUCCCGAUCUCUAUGUAUGGAUGUGAAAGUUGGACAGUGAAAAAGGCGGAUAAGAGAAAAAUCAACUCAUUUGAAAUGUGGUGCUGGAGGAGAGCUUUGAGCAUAGCAUGGACUGCAAAAAAGACAAAUAAUUGGGUGUUAGAACAAAUUAAACCAGAACUGUCACUAGAGGCUAAAAUGAUGAAACUGAGGUUAUCAUACUUUGGACACAUAAUGAGAAGACAUGAUUCAUUAGAAAAGACAAUAAUGCUGGGAAAAACAGGAGGGAGUAGAAAAAGAGGAAGGCCAAACAAGAGAUGGAUGGAUUCCAUAAAGGAAGCCACAGACCUGAACUUACAAGAUCUGAACAGGGUGGUUCAUGACAGAUGCUCCUGGAGGUCACUGAUUCAUAGGGUCACCAUAAGUCGUAAUCGACUUGAAGGCACAUAACAAUAACAAAAAAUCUUACCAGUACCUCUGCAACAAGUUUUAGCACUGUUACCCAGCACCACCAUGCUAUUCUGAGAAAUAAAGCUAACAUCAUCUAGUACUCAGAGUAUAUUCUUAUUUAUUAAAUUUAUAUCCUGCCCUUCCUCCAUGCCUCUGAACUAGCAACCUUCAUCUAGCCAUUGAGG